rnacentral:rRNA from 1 species
UGAGGAAUAUUGGUCAAUGGACGAGAGUCUGAACCAGCCAAGUAGCGUGAAGGAUGACUGCCCUAUGGGUUGUAAACUUCUUUUAUAAAGGAAUAAAGUCGGGUAUGGAUACCCGUUUGCAUGUACUUUAUGAAUAAGGAUCGGCUAACUCCGUGCCAGCAGCCGCGGUAAUACGGAGGAUCCGAGCGUUAUCCGGAUUUAUUGGGUUUAAAGGGAGCGUAGAUGGAUGCUUAAGUCAGUUGUGAAAGUGUGCGGCACAACCGAAAAAUUGCAGUUGAUACUGGAUAUCUUGAGUGCAGUUGAGGCAGGCGGAAUUCGUGGUGUAGCGGUGAAAUGCUUAGAUAUCACGAAGAACUCCGAUUGCGAAGGCAGCCUGCUAAGCUGCAACUGACAUUGAGGCUCGAAAGUGUGGGUAUCAAACAGG